rnacentral:rRNA from 1 species
AACGAACGCUGGCGGCAGGCCUAACACAUGCAAGUCGAGCGAGACCUUCGGGUCUAGCGGCGGACGGGUUAGUAACGCGUGGGAACGUGCCCUUCUCUGCGGAAUAGCACUGGAAACGGUGAGUAAUACCGCAUACGCCCUUCGGGGGAAAGAUUUAUCGGAGAAGGAUCGGCCCGCGUUAGAUUAGAUAGUUGGUGGGUAACGGCCUACCAAGUCUACGAUCUAUAGCUGGUUUUAGAGGAUGAUCAGCAACACUGGGACUGAGACACGGCCCAGACUCCUACGGGAGGCAGCAGUGGGGAAUCUUAGACAAUGGGCGCAAGCCUGAUCUAGCCAUGCCGCGUGUGUGAUGAAGGUCUUAGGAUCGUAAAGCACUUUCGCCAGGGAUGAUAAUGACAGUACCUGGUAAAGAAACCCCGGCUAACUCCGUG